rnacentral:piRNA from 1 species
UGCUGGAAAUUUCAGGGAACAGUUGU